GCGAGCCAGGCCGAGGCCGCCGGGAGGGAAGCGCUGCAGCGUGCCCAGCCCAGGACAACUUCGGCUCCGGCGGGAAGGACGUUCUCCCCUGCGGGCACCUGAGAUGGCAGGCGGAUGAUCGGCCUGUCUCUGCUGGUGGCCCUGCGCAACGAGGCCGGGGAAGCGCAAGGGAAUCCUAAGAACAGCUUUGUUGUGGAGAUGGGACUCGCCUGCAAGCGCAGCCAUGGUGAAGGCACAAAUAGCCAAAAAUAACAGGAGUUGUGUAAAGCGAAGUUUUUCCAUUAAACUAAGGAAAUUCCUCCUGCUGUCCUGAAUAACUCUGACCACGUUACAGAUCAAAA
rnacentral:lncRNA from 1 species